AGUUAUUUUGUAGGUUCGAAGUCCUCUGAUGGUUCUGCAAGGCAGAUGAGGGAAGUUGCAUGUCCCACCUGCACAGUCCAUCUUCAGGUUCAAGUUCCAGCCUCGGGAUCUGAAACAAUAGAAUGUGGUGUGUGCCAGCACCCAUUCCUGGUUGAUGCUCAUUGAUGUCUUCUGAUUUUAUCACAUCGUGGUAAUGCAUCCGACUGAGCUUCAGGAAAUUUUCUGUGUCACAGCUAAUAGGCGCGGUUACCGGCUUUGUAUAUUCAUUAAUAUGGUCAUGUUUUACUCAUUAGACUUGGUGGUUCUUUGUAUAUGAAUCUUCUUUGAGCAGGCAUAUUUGGGAUCGUCAAGUGUGUUAAGUGGGUUCGGAUGACUGGAAACUAAUUUAAAAUGCUUGGAUGGUUUUAUUUGUUGAUGCUUGUCUAGUCUGGCAUUAGCAAUUUACUCAAUAAAUUAGUUGGAGCUGCUUUGCUUCCUUUAUGUUUAUAA